UCUCAUUCGGAUCGGAGUCUGCAACCCGACUCCGUGAAGCUGGAUUCGCUAGUAAUCGCGCAUCAGCCAUGGCGCGGUGAAUACGUUCCCGGGCCUUGUACACACCGCCCGUCAAGCCAUGGAAGCCGGGGGCGCUUGAAGUGCGUUGCCGCAAGGCGCGCCCUAGAGCGAAACCGGUGACUGGGGCUAAGUCGUAACAAGGUAGC
rnacentral:rRNA from 1 species